rnacentral:rRNA from 1 species
UACGGAGGGUGCAAACGUUGCUCGGAAUCAUUGGGCGUAAAGCGCACGUAGGCGGUCCGGCAAGUCGGAUGUGAAAUCCCUCGGCUCAACCGAGGAAGUGCAUUCGAAACUGCCAGACUUGAGUAUGGAAGAGGGUCGCGGAAUUCCCGGUGUAGAGGUGAAAUUCGUAGAUAUCGGGAGGAACACCAGUGGCGAAGGCGGCGACCUGGGCCAAUACUGACGCUGAGGUGCGAAAGCGUGGGGAGCAAACAGG